GACGAACGCUGGCGGCGUGCCUAAUACAUGCAAGUAGGACGCAGUUGCGAACGGGUGAGUAACGCGUAGGUAACUACCUAGUAGAGGGGGCUAACUAUUGGAAACGAUAGCUAAUACCGCAUACUAGUAGAUUGACCUGCGUUGUAUUAGCUAGUAGGUAGGGUAAUGGCCUACCUAGGUAACGAUACAUAGCCGGCCUGGGAGGGUGAUCGGCCACACUGGGAAUGGUACACGGCCCAGACUCCUUCGGGAGGCAGCAGUAGGGAAUCUUCGGCAAUGGGGGGAACCCCGACCAAGCAACGGCGCGUGAGUGAAGAAGGGUUUCGGAUCGGAAAGCUCUGUUGUUAGGGAAGCGGUACUUAACCAGAAAGGGACGGCUAACUACGUGCCAGCAGCCGCGGUAAUAC
rnacentral:rRNA from 1 species